rnacentral:rRNA from 1 species
GACGAACGCUGGCGGCGUGCUUAACACAUGCAAGUCGAACGAAGAGCGAUGGAAGCUUGCUUCUAUCAAUCUUAGUGGCGAACGGGUGAGGAACGCGUAAUCAACCUGCCCUUCAGAGGGGGACAACAGUUGGAAACGACUGCUAAUACCGCAUACGAUCUGACCUCGGCAUCGAGGAUAGAUGAAAGGUGGCCUCUAUUUAUAAGCUAUCACGGAAGGAGGGGAUUGCGUCUGAUUAGCGAGUUGGAGGGGUAACGGCCCACCAAGGCGAUGAUCAGUAGCCGGUCUGAGAGGAUGAACGGCCACAUUGGGACUGAGACACGGCCCAGACUCCUACGGGAGGCAGCAGUGGGGAAUCUUCCGCAAUGGACGAAAGUCUGACGGAGCAACGCCGCGUGAGUGAUGACGGCCUUCGGGUUGUAAAGCUCUGUUAAUCGGGACGAAAGGCCUUCUUGCGAAUAGUUAGAAGGAUUGACGGUACCGGAAUAGAAAGCCACGGCUAACUACGUG